rnacentral:misc_RNA from 1 species
GAAAUGCGAUAAUUAAUGUGAAUUGCAGAAUUCAGUGAAUCAUCGAGUCUUUGAACGCACAUUGCGCCCCCUGGUAUUCCGGGGGGCAUGCCUGUCCGAGCGUCAUUGCUGCCCUCAAGCACGGCUUGUGUGUUGGGCUUCCGUCCCUGGCAACGGGGACGGGCCCAAAAGGCAGUGGCGGCACCAUGUCUGGUCCUCGAGCGUAUGGGGCUUUGUCACCCGCUCCCGUAGGUCCAGCUGGCAGCUAGCCUCGCAACCAAUAUUUUUAACCAGGUUGACCUCGGAUCAGGUAGGGAUACCCGCUGAACUUAAGC